rnacentral:tRNA from 1 species
GUGGGAGUGGCUCAGCAGUUAGGAGCACUGGCUCCCCUUCCAGAGGCCCUGAGUUCAAUUCCCAGCAACCACA